GAUGAACGCUGGCGGCGUGCCUAAUACAUGCAAGUAGAACGCUGAAGGAAGGAGCUUGCUCUUUCCGGAUGAGUUGCGAACGGGUGAGUAACGCGUAGGUAACCUGCCUGGUAGCGGGGGAUAACUAUUGGAAACGAUAGCUAAUACCGCAUAACAGUAGAUGUUGCAUGAUAUCUACUUAAAAGGUGCAAUUGCACCACUACCAGAUGGACCUGCGUUGUAUUAGCUAGUUGGUGAGGUAACGGCUCACCAGGGCGACGAUACAUAGCCGACCUGAGAGGGUGAUCGGCCACACUGGGACGGAGACACGGCCCAGACUCCUACGGGAGGCAGCAGUAGGGAAUCUUCGGCAAUGGACGGAAGUCUGACCGAGCAACGCCGCGUGAGUGAAGAAGGUUUUCGGAUCGUAAAGCUCUGUUGUAAGAGAAGAACGAGUGUGAGAGUGGAAAGUUCACACUGUGACGGUAUCUUACCAGAAAGAGACGGCUAACUACGUG
rnacentral:rRNA from 1 species